CUCUGUCGUUUAUCUGCUUUCUCAGUCUGAAAAAGAAAAACGUAGACUUUUUUCAACUUCUGUGUGACGUUUUCACAAUUUUGAUAAUGUUUUAUAGGAUGGCAUUCUGAUACUUUGUUUAUCCUUAUUUUUUUUUCUCUAAAUUUAGCAUUUUCCUCUUGAAAAAAGUUACAUUCCUACUGGGAUUCUACAACCCCACCGCAGUAUCUCAACCAAAUAACCACAAUUUAGCAAAACACAGCGGACUACAGGGAACUACAAAUAAAAGACGAGCAUCACAGAGACUUCUGGUGCUGAGCAGGAGAAGCUCACUGAAUCCUUUUUAUUGUCAUCCUGCUCUGCUCCCUGCAUAGCCAGUAUCUGAUGAAACACUUUUUCAGUGGAAUGGUAUGUGCUAAAGGAAGACAUGAAAUAAAACCAAAGGAGCUACCACAUGGCAGGAACAAGUCAACCUACUUCCUUACUAGAACACAGAUGGUACUAGUUUCCUGGGCAAACAGGCAACAAAUCUCAGAGGAUGGAAGCUCAAAGUCAAGGACAACGAAUAUUUAGUUCAGUACACUUUAAACUUAUGCAGGACAUUCCAUAAAACCUCACAAAGUCAACUUGCACCUAUGCAAAAGUUGAGGCUUUUAGGGACGGAACAAAAAGGGCACCCAACAUUUCAAGGGAUUUGAAUUCUAGUGUAUGAGGCUAACUUAUGCCUUUUAGUUUUUUUCCUAGUUGGUAAAACAAUUCAACAUGAGAGACAUAGAGAAUUCACUGAAAGGGAAGGUGGUCUCUGGCUCCAAGUAUGUACUACAGGCUCUCCAGUGCUUAGCAUGUGGGGUUGAAAAGAAUCCAACUGCUCCCUGGUAUGAGAUUUCAGUCUCACAAAAAUAGCAUUAACUUCCAGCUAAACUAUUAAUUACUACGUUAAUUAAUACCAGAUGAGUUAUUGGAAGUUCAUUUUCCUUAUUCAUUCAUUUAUACUAGCUACGGUAUAAACUAACUAAAAUGAAUAAACAAGGAUCAUUCUUGCCAAUAUUUCCAGUCAGCUUUCUAAACUAAAGCCAGCUUCAACUGGUCUGGAUGAAACCCAGCAUUUAUGAUUUACUUAAACCCCAAGAGCUUCAUAUGACUGAUUUUUAUGAUGUGGCAUACUAUAAACCAAGUUUUAGUAAGCUGCUCCACACACUGAGACCAAUAAGCUUCAGGUGAAAACAUUAUGCUUCCUCAGAAACCUACUGAGACUUUUAAAUGGAAAAACUCCAAAGUACACAAUCUUUUUCAUCUGGACACUAACUUUACACGGCAUGCUUUUCAUUUGAAAUAGACUACUUAUUUCCACAAUGACUUAAUUAGCAAUGUCAUUGAGGACAAGUUACUAUGACUGUUUCCAGAGCAGAACACACUCAGUGCCCUCCCUACGUGCCGAGGAACGCAGCACUUGUGAAAAGGACACCUUCUGAACGGUACCUG